GACAGAGGCCUCGAGCGUUAGGCGGAAUCACUGGGCUUAAAGCGUGUGUAGGCGGGCCCGUAAGUGUCUUGUGAAAUCCCACGGCUCAACCGUGGAACUGCUGGGCAUACUGCGGGUCUUGGGCCAACUAGGGGCAGCCGGAACAAGCGGUGGAGCGGUGAAAUGCGUAGAUAUCAUUUGGAACGCCAAUGGUGAAAACAGGUAGCUGGGGCUGUACUGACACUGAGACACGAAAGCCAGGGGAGCAAACGGG
rnacentral:rRNA from 1 species